rnacentral:rRNA from 1 species
CGCCCUUAGAGUUUGAUCCUGGCUCAGGAUGAACGCUAGCUACAGGCUUAACACAUGCAAGUCGAGGGGAAACGACAUCGAAAGCUUGCUUUUGAUGGGCGUCGACCGGCGCACGGGUGAGUAACGCGUAUCCAACCUGCCCAUCACUUGGGGAUAACCUUGCGAAAGUAAGACUAAUACCCAAUGACGUCUCUAGAAGACAUCUGAAGGAGAUUAAAGAUUUAUCGGUGAUGGAUGGGGAUGCGUCUGAUUAGCUUGUUGGCGGGGUAACGGCCCACCAAGGCGACGAUCAGUAGGGGUUCUGAGAGGAAGGUCCCCCACAUUGGAACUGAGACACGGUCCAAACUCCUACGGGAGGCAGCAGUGAGGAAUAUUGGUCAAUGGGCGAGAGCCUGAACCAGCCAAGUAGCGUGCAGGAUGACGGCCCUAUGGGUUGUAAACUGCUUUUAUAAGGGAAUAAAGUGAGCCUCGUGAGGCUUUUUGCAUGUACCUUAUGAAUAAGGACCGGCUAAUUCCGUGCCAGCAGCCGCGGUAAUACGGAAGGUCCGGGCGUUAUCCGGAUUUAUUGGGUUUAAAGGGAGCGUAGGCCGGAGAUUAAGCGUGUUGUGAAAUGUAGACGCUCAACGUCUGCACUGCAGCGCGAACUGGUUUCCUUGAGUACGCACAAAGUGGGCGGAAUUCGUGGUGUAGCGGUGAAAUGCUUAGAUAUCACGAAGAACUCCGAUUGCGAAGGCAGCUCACUGGAGCGCAACUGACGCUGAAGCUCGAAAGUGCGGGUAUCGAACAGGAUUGGAUACCCUGGUAGUCCGCACGGUAAACGAUGGAUGCCCGCUGUUGGUCUGAAUAGGUCAGCGGCCAAGCGAAAGCAUUAAGCAUCCCACCUGGGGAGUACGCCGGCAACGGUGAA